UACAGAGGUCUCAAGCGUUGUUCGGAUUCAUUGGGCGUAAAGGGCGUGCAGGCGGUCUGUUAAGUGCAGGGUGAAAGCUCCCGGCUCAACUGGGAGAGGUCCUUGCAUACUGGCGGACUUGAGGGGGGUAGAGGAAAGUGGAAUUCCUGGUGUAGCGGUGAAAUGCGCAGAUAUCAGGAGGAACACCGGUGGCGAAGGCGGUUCUCUGGGAAUGUCCUGACGCUGAGGAGCGAAAGUGUGGGGAGCGAACAGG
rnacentral:rRNA from 1 species